AUCCAGUUGUCGAGUCCCAAAUAGGACGAAGUGUGCGUUAUCCUGGAU
rnacentral:hammerhead_ribozyme from 1 species